ACAACUUGACUUCUUCUUUCACCAAUCCAAGGAGCACAUCAUGACUUUACACAAAUCUUCAGAACCAAAACCCCUUAUGGUCGAUCUCGAGGCGGUGUGAAGAUGUGAAGCCGAAACCGAAACUAUUGAUUUCUCAUAAAAAAUAACAUUUACUUAAAAAAGAGAAUUAACAUGUUUAUUUGAUGGUUUUAAUUUGGUGGUAGAAAUGUUGAAUCAAUGGGUUUAAGGGUUGAAACGGAC
rnacentral:lncRNA from 1 species